rnacentral:tRNA from 1 species
GAUUCCAUGGUAAAUUGAACGGCCGGCUCAUAACCGGUUGGUCGCAGGUUUCAGUCCUGUUGGGUCA